rnacentral:rRNA from 1 species
GACAGAGGGUGCAAACGUUGCUCGGAAUUACUGGGCGUAAAGCGCGUGUAGGCGGGCCGGAAAGUCGGGCGUGAAACCCCUGGGCUCAACCCAGGAACUGCACUCGAAACUUCCGGUCUAGAGUGGUGGAGAGGGAAGUGGAAUUCCUGGUGUAGAGGUGAAAUUCGUAGAUAUCAGGAGGAACACCAGUGGCGAAGGCGGCUUCGUGGACACCAACUGACGCUGAGACGCGAAAGCGUGGGGAGCAAACAGG